GAUGAACGCUAGCGAUAGGCUUAACACAUGCAAGUCGAGGGGCAGCACAAGGUAGCUUGCUAUCUGGGUGGCGACCGGCGCACGGGUGCGUAACGCGUAUGCAACUUGCCCUAUACAGGAGGAUAACCCGUCGAAAGACGGACUAAUACUGCGUAUGCUCACAACUUGGCAUCAAGUGGUGAGGAAAGAAAUUCGGUAUAGGAUAGGCAUGCGUCCCAUUAGCUUGUUGGUGAGGUAACGGCUCACCAAAGCAACGAUGGGUAGGGGAACUGAGAGGUUUAUCCCCCACACUGGUACUGAGACACGGACCAGACUCCUACGGGAGGCAGCAGUGAGGAAUAUUGGUCAAUGGGCGCGAGCCUGAACCAGCCAAGUCGCGUGAAGGAUGACUGUCUUAUGGAUUGUAAACUUCUUUUAUACGGGAAUAACAAGAGUCACGUGUGACUCCCUGCAUGUACCGUAUGAAUAAGCAUCGGCUAACUCCGUG
rnacentral:rRNA from 1 species